UGACACAGGGAGGUAGUGACAAGAAAUAACAAUACGGGGCUUAAAGUCUUGUAAUUGGAAUGAUGGGAAUUUAAACCUCUUCCAGAGUAUCAAUUGGAGGUCAAGUCUGGUGCCAGCAGCCGCGGUAAUUCCAGCUCCAAUUUGCGUAUAUUAAAAUUGUUGCAGUUAAAAAGCUCGUAGUUGAAUUUCUGCUGCAUUGUCGAGCCUUCCCGUGUUUCGCACGUGGCUUUUUUCGGACGGUUCA
rnacentral:rRNA from 1 species